rnacentral:lncRNA from 1 species
GUGUUUUUCUGUUGUAUGUAAUUAUUUAUUUUAACAGACUUGACACCUUGUUCUUGUUUUUAAGCCUUGUCUGCUAUAUGGAAAUUUUCCUCUUCAAUACUGAUGCGAUUCCUAUAAGUCACUGAAGGACCAACUGCUAUAUCUCACCCAAUCAUCUAACAUCAAGGUGAUACAGAUAUUUUUUUAAAAAAUAGAAGCAAAUGGUGUUGAUGGCGUUAAAAAGAAACUCAGCACUUCCUGGCCCGAACCUCCUGUGUGCCCAACUCUGCUCACCCAGGCUCGGAUCAUCCCUGUUGGGAGCUGUUCUGGCACUCACCUUCAUCGAGCUUUCUCUCUUUUGUUUCAACAAUCCAAAUGGUAGAAACCUUCCUGCCACCAUCUUAGAGAAGCUCACUGAAAGCUCAGUCAGAGUCACUUGUUGCCUUUCAAGAUGGAAGUCUCAUGAAUGUAGG